rnacentral:tRNA from 1 species
GCCCAGAUGGUGGAAUUGGUAGACACGCUGGUUUCAGGUACCAGUGCUUCACGGCAUGCAAGUUCAAGUCUUGUUCUGGGCA